UACGUAGGGUGCAAGCGUUGUCCGGAAUUAUUGGGCGUAAAGAGCUCGUAGGCGGUUUGUCGCGUCUGCUGUGAAAACCCGAGGCUCAACCUCGGGCCUGCAGUGGGUACGGGCAGACUAGAGUGCGGUAGGGGAGAUUGGAGUUCCUGGUGUAGCGGUGAAAUGCGCAGAUAUCAGGAGGAACACCGAUGGCGAAGGCAGGUCUCUGGGCCACUACUGACGCUGAGAAGCGAAAGCAUGGGGAGCGAACAGG
rnacentral:rRNA from 1 species